UACAGAGGUGGCAAACGUUGUCCGGAUUUAUUGGGUGUAAAGGGCAUGUAGGUGGUCCUAUAAGUCAAAGGUGAAAUGGCCCGGCUCAACCAGGUCAUUGCCUUUGAAACUGCAGGACUUGAGUACGGAAGAGGAAAGCGGAAUUCCCAGUGUAGCGGUGAAAUGCGUAGAUAUUGGGAGGAACACCGGUGGCGAAGGCGGCUUUCUGGACAGUAACUGACGCUGAGGCGCGAAAGCUAGGGGAGCAAACAGG
rnacentral:rRNA from 1 species